GAUGAACGCUGGCGGCGUGCCUAAUACAUGCAAGUCGAGCGAAGCGGGGAGGGGGGAGUAACACGUGGAGAACCUGCUAUAAGAAGGGGAUAACGUAGGGAAACCGGAGCUAAAACGGAUACUUAUAGAAGGAUCAGCGCGGCAUUAGCUAGUUGGUAAGGUAAAGGCUUACAAAGGCAACGAUGCGUAGCCGAACUGAGAGGCUGAUCGGCCACACUGGAACUGAGACACGGUCCAUACUCCUCCGGUAGGCAGCAGUAGUGAAUCUUCCGCAAUGGUCGAAAGCCUGACGCAGCCACGCCGCGUGAGUGAUGAAGGUCUUCGGAUCGUAAAACUCUUUUAUUAGGGAAGCGGUACCUAAUCAGAAAGCCACGGCUAACUACGUGCCAGCAGCCGCGGUAAUAC
rnacentral:rRNA from 1 species